GUUAGUUCAGACCAGUUGUGAAGCUGAAGAGGCAGAGGCGGUAGGCGGAAGAUUCAGACUUGAGAGAAGCGAAGCAAAUAGAUUCAUUCUCAAGGCCCUCGAGUGGAUCAUGGUCUCAGUUUAACACAGCGGAUUUCACAGACCAGCUCAAGACACAGCUUGCUCAGGCCUAUGCCGAAGAAUUCCUCGAGGUGCCGGGCAUCAUUUUGUGGCAUGUUUGAUGAAAUUGUUUAAAGGCUUUUCCUGGACAAAAUGGAAGCAUAAAGUGCAGCUAUUUACUCCCAUGUAUUCGGCUUCCUCCUUAUUAGAGUUUAUGCAUUUCAUGGAGCCACCCUGAUCAGGUUGUGUCUCUCCAACUUAAACUCUACAUUUAUUGAUCUUCUUGCGUCUCUCCAAUUGGAAGGAAUAUUGAGCCUUCAUGCCUAUUCUUCGUUGAAAUUCUAUGUGAUGCCACUUGCAUUUGCUAGCCCUCUAGAACUUGUCUUUAUUCUUGUUGAGGCUACACUUUGCAUAUUUCAAUUGGAAAAUGAUUCAGGCAUUCAUAAAAAUUGCCAGUCUCACUUAAAAGGCCAGCCUAGAUAUUAUAUCCUUUCCUUACCCUUUGAGCCUAACUAUUUGUAUUUCUAUUCCAUUCCAUUCCAUCCAUAUUCCAUUCGAAUUUCAUUAUAGAUGCAACUCAACAUGAUCCCAUUACAUUGUAGACACGUGGCUUGAUUUCAUUUAGAAAAUGCAUGUGCUUUGUUAUCAUUCUAGCUUGCAAUUAAUGUCCGUGAUUGGUUACAUGCUCUGGAUGCCUAAUUGCAGCUGCACCAUUGUGAUUACCAUUCUGAAUUGUUGGAUUUACUUGGAGGUUUAAAAAAAUGGAAAAAGAGAAAAAAGAAAAGCAUAAAAAAAAAGAAAGUGAAAAGGAGAGAGAUGAAGAAAAGAAAACAAAUUAUACCAGAAAAAUAAAAAAGAAUAGAAGAAAAGAAGUGACAAAUAGAAAAAAAAAAGAGAAACAGAAAUAGAAAAGAAAAAUAGAGAAAAGAAAAAGAAAGAAGGAAUAAAAGUGAAUUCAAAUUCUUUGUAUUGAGUUUUGCACUGCUAGUUGUUAUGGAUUGUCACUAUUGUAAUUGCAUUUACUACUUGAAAUUGGUUCAUGUGUUUACUUUGUGAGGGAUCAAACACAUUUAUCUACCUUGACAUCAUACUCCAUUUUCAUCCAUAUUUUAAGUCUGUCAUAAUCAUUUUUUCUGAAAAGACCUGAUGAUUCUGGUUGUGCAUGCUAUUUAGUAGUGGAGAUUUUAGAAUUUUGACAAGCUUAUGGUAGUGCUGCAUUGCAAGUGGUUGAGUGAAAAUGACCCAAUGCACUUUCGUGAGUUGAGUGAAACACUUAAUCGUUGUGUGGCUAUCUGUUUGUUUCAUGCCUUUUAGAUUUUGAAUCUUUGAUUGCUCUUGUUUGUAAGUGUGGUGGAUGUUUGAUCAUAAUAAGUUGACGUGGUAGAUUGAAUUGAGCUGGCAAUGAUCACUCUUGUUUUCUAUUUCUGUUUUGUUUUUGGGAAAUUGAUUUUGGCUAACUUUUACUCAGGAGUGCAAAAGGGUAAGUGUAAGGGAAUUUGAUAAACCAAAAUUGUUGCAUAUUUUUAUUCUUCUUUUGCAUGAUUAUUAGCACUCAUUUAAAUAUUUUUGAACAUAUUUGGUGAUUUUUGAUCAUUUGGGCAUUUUUAGUAAUUAUGGGAAAUUUGUGUCAAAAGUACAAUUUUCUAGAGUUUGGGUCAAUUAGUCAUUUCCCUAUUUCUUUUCCAAUUUAAUUUUGAAGUUGCCAACUCAUUAAAUCCUAUCAUUCAUUCUCAUAUUUUCCAGUUUGCAUUCUAGUAUUUUCAUAGCAUUUUUCGGAUAUGAAUUUGCAUUUAUUAAAUCAUUUAGUCAUUUGUUUUAAUCUUAUUUUUUUUCCAUUUAUGUUACAUCAUAUUUUGUUUCAUGUUUUUAUUAUAUAUUAUCUCAAAGAUUUUAUUACUUUCUAAUUUUAGGGCGUGCAUUUUAGAAUUAAUAAGAGGGGAUAAUCAAAUUUCAUUUGUUAUUCUUUUAUUUUAUUUUUAUUUCAAUUGCUUAUUUUAAUUUUGUAGCCUCGCUGGACGUAUCAUCUUCAUUUUUUUUUUUAAAUUUUCAGAACACACUCUUACUUGACUAACCGGCAACUGCAUCUUCCUCAUUUCUUUCUCCUUCUCUCAAGAAAUCUGGUCUCUCUAACCUUUCUCUUUUAAGUUGUACUUUCGAUUUAAUCAAUUUCUUUUUCUUUUAACUGCUUGUGCGUUUAUUUAUUUAUUUCUUCACUUUUGCUCUAUUUCUUAUUCUUGAUUUUUUCCAUCUAUCUCUUCUCCUUUUAAGUUCUACUCCUACUUUAAGCAUUUUUGCCAUUUUAUUUAUUUUCUUGUGCAUUGAUUGUUUAAUUAUAUUCUUGUGCAUUGAUUAUUUAGUCAACAACAACAACAACAAGCCUUUAUCCCACUAGGUGGGGUCGGCUACAUGGAUUGCAAGACGCCAUUGUGCUCUAUCAUUUAUCAAGCUCUUAGGAAUAUUAUUAAUUAAGAGAUCGCGUUCAACAACUUCCAAGAGUGUUCUCUUAGGCCUUCCUCUAUCUCUCUUAAUCGGACUCAAAGUUAUAUGUUUCACUCUUCUCACUGGUGCCUCCCUUGGUCUUCUUUGUACAUGCCCAAACCAUCUCAACCGAUUUUCUACCAUUUUUUCCUCAAUAGGUGCCACCCUCACUUUUUCGCGUACGUGUUCAUUUCGAAUUUUAUCUUUUCGUGUAUGUUUGCACAUCCAUCGUAACAUUCUCAUCUCUGCUACUCCAAUUUUAUGCUCUUGCUGUCCCGUUAGAGCCCAGCAUUCAUUACUAUAUAACAUUGCCGGUCUGAUAGCAGUGCGAUAAAACUUUUCUUUAAGUUUAUUAGGCACCUUACGGUCGCAAAUAACUCCUUUAGCUUUUCUCCAAUUGAUUAUUUAGUCAAUUGCUUUUUUUUUAUUAAUGUAUAGAUACCCAAACAAUUAAAAAUUAAAAAAUGAAUAAAUAUCAAGAGAAAUUUGGAUAGAAUAAAAGGUAAGGGUUGUACGAAGCUUACCCGACAAGUUAUUGAUCAGAGAUGCCUUCCAAUGCUUUGAGAACUCUUGCCCUAGCAGCCAAGACUUUUUUCUCCACUCCCUUUCACGUUUUUUUUUCCUUCUGAUUUUUUCCUUUGGAAACUCAUGAAAUUUCACGAUCUAUUUAGUCAUUUUCUGGUCCAUGUGUUACGACGCAUGCAGCGCGUGGCAUAGUGAGGAGAAUCCUCACCAUGUGUGCUUCAAUUCGAAAUGCAAUUCUUCCACCAUAUUUGUCUAUUCAACAUUCAAAGGACACAAAUCAAUAACUAAUCAUUCAAAUUUUUAAUCCUUUACUAAUUAUCAUUUUACCUCUAAUUAAUAACCUAUCAUAGGAUUACAAAAAUCUGGAUGUUACAUAUUACAUAUCACACCAUGAUGUUAUGCAUGAUCUAAUCCAUCCAAAUCUUUAAUAACCUUGACUGAAAACCAAACCUAUAGGUAUCAUAAACCACUUUUUAAUUACAGGUCCCCUUAUUUUAAGAAAUUGGGAGUGUCAUUAUUCCAACUCUACAUUUUACGGAUGAUAAAGAGUAUAAUCUUCAACUCCACACUCAUAUUAAUUUAUGCGUGAUGUUUUUCCUUAAUUUACUACGAAUAUUUUAUUUUGAUACGACAGACAUGCAGAGUCCAAGAAAUUAUUUAUUUAAAUUUAUUAAUAUCAGAGACAAUAUAAGAUUAUUAUAACUAAUUCAAAAGGAGAAGAAAGAAUAAAUUUAAUAAUAACAUGAUAUGAAAGAAUAUCAUGUCAAUUUUUAAUUAUAUAUAGAUAGGGACGUGCUUUAUGAAGAGAUAGAGAGUUGUUAUUUAAAAGGAGAAUGGAUGCAGGAAACGCUAACAUGCUGUUCAAGUUAGAGAGUUGUUCAUGUGGAUAUCAAUAAAAGGAGCGGAUCUACAUUGUCAACUCCUGAGAUCCAAAUUCUUAAAAAAAAGAACACGUCAAAUUCAAAGAAGUAAAAGAUAACUUUUCUAUCCACCUUAACUUAAAUGAGUUUGUUCGAUCCAUAUCUGAUAGUGGAAGAGCUAAGAGAUAUGAUGGUAGACAUAAGGCAAACAAUUCGGGAUCAUGGCAUACAGGUUACCAAAGGAUCAGAUCGUUUCAGAGGGGGUUAAUGCAGAGAAAUGAUGGGGCUAUGAGAAUUAUAUAUGAGACAAGCAUAUUCCAGUACUAAAUUCACCUAAGAUAAUUUCUCAAGAACAGAGAUUCAACCUCUCUAUGGUUUAUCAGUUCUGUCACAUCCUUGGUCUUGAAAUUAGUAAUGGAAGGACCCAGUCGUGUAAUUUGGCAUAAUUUUGAACAUCUUAUGAUAGCAAUUUAUUUGGUUGACCAUCUUGCACUAAACACCAUUUAGUCAUCUCUACUAGAGCAUCAGCCAUUCCUUGUUUACCUCCGGUGCUUCCUCUACCUCCAAUAGGAUUAUUUGAGUUAGACCCCUCCAAUUUCCCCUUGAGAUUUCGAUAUAGAUUACCUAAAUGUGUUGAUUUUCAAAUUUUUGCUGUCGCCUUGGGACGCAUGCAUUUCCCAGAUCCAGGAGGAGGAGGCGGUGGAGGGCCCACUCUACUUCGACCUAGCAUUGGAGGAGGAGGCAUUGCACCAGCUGGUCUAGCCUUCAACCAUGGUGGUGGUGGUGGUGGAGACAGUCCUUUAGCACAAGGCAAGCAAUUUCCUUUCUAGGUAUAGAUGGUUGUGGCAGUGGAGGCAGGGGUGGGGGCAUCACCUUUUUAUGUAUCAAUGGUUGAGGUGGUGGUGGCAGCAGCGGUGAAGGCAUUACAACAACCACAGUUGGCUUUAAGAUAGGUGGUGGUGGUGGUGGUGGAGGAGGAGGCAGUGCUAGAGGUGCAAAUGGAGUGCGAGAUGGUGUAAGAAUUUGGAGAUGGAGGUGGAAGUGGAGGGGAUAACUUAGGCAACUGAAAUGGCUGCAGUAGAAAAGGUGUAUUGUGGGCUGAUUUAAUGUCAAGGUCAAAAACAAAAGAUCUUGCGGCGCAUCAUCUCCAGAAUCGCUGCACAUAUCAUCUAUCUCACCCAUAUCUCUUAUGUCUUGUUGCCAAUGGGAAGAGACAGGUGCUUGACACACGCUUGAACUCUUGCGAGACCACAGAGGGGAGAUAAAAUGAUUGCUGCCCCUCAAGCUGCUAGAGGGAAGAACUGAUUUCGGAGUGGCAGGAGAAGGGCCACCGAAGAAGCUACUCUUUGAGAAGGUAUACGAAUAUGGGGAUUCCAUUCUUAACCAUUUGUUCUUUCCUUGAUCCUCUUCCUCCACACUUGCCAGCUUCAUCAACUAAUCUAGUAUGGCCAACACACACUCUCCUGCAGAAUUAUAUUGAUAACUAAUUCCCCCAAACACCUCAUGAGAAAAUGUUCCAUACUAAUGGAUUUGGGUCCAUAACUAUGGGUUCCAAUGUACGAGAUCUUGUAGCACUUACCAAUGAGGCCCUAUCGAUUAGUAUCAAUUAUAGACACUAAUCUAAUUAGAUCUGCUCUUCAUAGGCAAACUUGGGAUUUGCGAUCCCAUAAUGCCUUCCUCGUCAUUAAUAUGUUUGCUUGCAGUAAUUGUGGCCUCUCGGGAGAAUUGAUGACUGCAUCUUUACAACAACUAAUAUUGCCCGGAGGUUGCUAACUCAUAAUUCAUUUUCUCAUCCAAUCAUUAUUCAUCAUCCACGAUUCUCCCACACACUUCAUAGCCUUGCAGAAGAAGGCCAGGGAUGUAAAAUAUUAUCCAAAUUUUUCCUCAACAACAGUUUUCCGCAACUCCAUAACAGAGUAAAUAUCAAUAAUAUAACCUUAUCUAUUGACUUCCCCUUAAUAUCUAACACUUGAUAUCUUAGAACAAUUGCGGGGUAUUUGUAGAUCGUCUCAUGUUUGGAUAAUAAAGGCAUGCGGCCAUGCUGAAAUAUUCUAUUCUUUGAUUUGGUGCUCAUUGCGACAAUGUGCAAUGUGUUAGUUCAUCAUUUGCAUAAUUUAGAGGUUUAUUUUUGCCAAUUUAUCUAUUGAAAUUUUGGAAAAUGUUACUAGCUAAAUAACUUUUAUAUAACUAAAAAAAAUAAAAUAUAAAUAAAUAAUUUUUUUUUGUAAUUUGAAUGAUUUUUAGAUAACAUUUAUAUUUAAAGUAACUAUCAACUAACGGUUGGGUAGAUGAAAAUGCAAUACUAAAAAUAAAGGAUAUGUAUGUGGUUUGUAACUAUUUAUACUAGUAGAAGUUCCUGUAAUUUAAAAAAUUAGGGAGGAGGCAUCUAUAAUUAAGGUAAAAUAACAUUAGAUGUAACAUCCAAAAGUUAAUUAUUGAAUUAAAUUAUAUUAACCAAUGGUAAUUAGAAGUAAGAAAUAAUAAGAAUGGAUUAAGUGUAAGGUGGAGCAAGAUUUGGGACUUCAGAGUGUAUUUGAGGGAGACUUUCAAUUCUUAGUGUCACCACUAUCUAAUGAAUUAGAGCAACUAGAAUGAAGUGCACUAUCUAAGCCACAAAUGGAAGGAGAAUCAUGAUCAAACAAAGAAAUAGACUCAUCUAAAGAAAAUGUAAAAGUAGACCGGUCUAUGGAGUCUUCAUCACAUGUAGCACCUAAUGGUGACACUAAGCGAAGGUUUUUAAUUAAUUAAAAAUUAUAUGAAUUGAAAAUUGGCCUAGUGAUGGCUAAUAAAUGAUUUUAGUAGUUAAGUGAUACUAGGUGAAUAGUUGAUUUAAUAUAUGGGCCAUUAGGAUGGAUUAUGACCCAUUAACCCAAGUGGUGUGGUAUGAAUAUAGUCUUCAUUAAUGCUAUUUGUCAUGAAAAGUGAUGUGAAUCAUUUAUAUGUUGUAGAAAACUAUUGAUGGAACUUAUUGAGAAGUUAAGAAAUAAGUGAAGUCUUAUUUUUGUACAAAGGAAAAUCCUUUUGGUACAAAAAGGGUUGAGAUAACAGGAGAAUUAUAUUUUCUGUUGUUUUGUUCAACUACUUUUGAAUAAAUAUUACUAGCUAUCAUGCAUUACAUGUUUUAAAUGAUUAAAUGCAAUUAAUUAUAUUUUAUAAAGACUUGUGAGGUACUACUUAGAUAAUAGUAAAUAUAUGUUUUUUAUUAAAAACGAGGUUGUUUACAUGCAUUGUAAUUAUAGAUAAUGGUAGUUGCAGUUAAGGAAGUGUAACUAGAUUAGGUACCUUAGAUAUGCUAAGGAACUGCUUAAGGGAGGAGUGAUAUUUGUUAUACUACCUUGGAGUAUUGAAGUGAUCAAUACUCGGGAAAGGUAGACGAGUGAAAGGCAUGAUCUCGGUGGGAGUUCACCAAUGGAGAGGUGUGUAUUUGUGAUAUUCUAUGGCACACUACUAGUACUCAGUGUUGCCUUUCAUAUUAUGGGCUCAGUACACUAAAGUGGUUAGUGGAUUGAGUGUUCGACACCUCUCAGUAGGGGAGGGAAUCUGACGUAUGAAGUGUGAGGUUGAGUACCUCGGCCAAGGCAGCUCUUACAUGGAAAGUAAGUUGGGCUGAGCUUUGACUACUCAAGAUUCACGUCGAAGGAGCACAGGGGGUUAGGUGAAUUUGAUCAUGUCUUAGAUUACGUUUUAUGUCUAUAGAGGUACGAGUGGGUAUAAGGUUUACUUAUGAGCUAAAGAGUACCAAGGGGUACUCUGUCGGUUAGGAAAGGUCAUACUAGCCUACGUCAUGCAUUUUAAAUGAUUAAAGUAUAUUUUAUGUUUAAUCUAUUAUUCAUUUAUUUAACUAUAACUUACUUUGUAAUAAUAAAUGUAGAUUUCUCUAUUAUUGAGACUGUGGUUGUCUCACUGCUUUCUUUAUAAUAUUUAUAGCUUCAAGCGAAGGAUCCAGUGGUGGAUGGGGAAAGGAGCAAAGUUAGGGGGUGUUUAUAAAUUGUAAACAACUAUAACACCUUUCUUUUGAGUAAAUUUAUUGUAAUGUAUUUAGGAUUAGGGUGCCAGUAGAAUAUGAUUAUAUAUUUGUGUGUGAAUAUGUGUGGAUUGUAUGGCUUUAUAUGAUUUUUUUGUUUGCAUGUAGACUUGUGAUUAGGAACUUGGUUAUGGUGUGUGGUUUUAAUAGAUUUAUUUGGUAGACCAAGUUUCUACUACAAGCUAAUGUUUAUUUUGAUUUAUAUGUGAUUUUACAAGAAAAUGCAAAGUGGUUGCAUUGCAAAUAGUGUGCUAUCGGCAAACAUAUAUCUUGGAUAGGGAAUGGGUGCGUGGGCCCCACGAGGAUCUUUGAACCAAGUGAAAAUGUGUAUUCAUAUGUGUAUAUGGUGUUUGAAAUGGUUUUUGGCCACUCUUGUGUGAUUUAUAAAUUUUGAGGGCUUAGGGUCUAUUUUGAAAAAUGGCAUCUAGGUAGUUAAAUUUUAAUAUAAAGGAUUUUUUUAUCAUUUAAAUAUUCUAUCAGGUACUCCUAGUGCUAUUUGACGUGUCUAAAGUGUUCUCACGGGUUUGUAACUAUUAGGAUGAGAUUUGGACAAUUUUGAAAAUAAUUUUUAUCAAAAAGCUGCACUUUUACGUCUGGAUGUCCAAAUUUCAAUCUGACUGUUGGAUUUUCUGAAAAUUUGGGUCACAAGUAAAACUUUUAUAAUCUUCACAUGAGCUUUGAAAUCACCUCGAUCAAACAUCGUACAGAGAAAUGGUGCACUCUGAAAGUUAGUCCGGAAGUGUGAUAGCAAAAUUGCCAAAGUUACGGCAUGCAUGAAUUUCAAUCCAUUAGUUGGAUCUUUUCAAAAUUUGGUAUGCUAGUAAUAAUUUUUAAAAGUGACAUGUGGACUCUAGAAUUGUUCCGAUUAGAGGUCGGAUGAUGAAAUGGUGCACUCCAAAAGUUAGUUUAAAAAUGCUAUCAUGACAGCAACUUUGUCCAAUCUUGUAAAGUAUUCAAAUUCUUAUUCGAUCGUUAGUUUUUUGAAAUUUGGUACACUACUAGUAAUUAUUAAAAUUGAUGUGUGAGCUUUAAAAUUACUUUGAUCAGAUAUUUAAUGGUGGAAUGGAACCUCUCAAAAGUUGGCCUGAGACGGCUGUUAUGACAGUAAUUUGAUGUUGUUAUGACAGAAUUUUUUUACCCUACUUUCGCCUAGCUUGCUUCUCUGCACUAUAGAUAGAACCUAUAAAUUUUUCUAAAAGUUUUAAAUGUUUAUUUUGUGAUGGUGUAUUUGUUUAGUGAUUUAAAUGAUUUGUUUUCUAAGUUGGUUUUAGAAUCAACUCCUUAACCACACUUAGUUUAUUUGAAUUGUGUGAUUUUUAGAUAACACUCGAAGAAAGUAUUACACUUAUCACUUCCACCCUCUUGAAUAGGGAUAAUUUGAGUAUUUUUGGCUUGAGUCAUCUCUUGAUAUCUCUAUAACUGAAAUUUGGAUGUUGUCUUCAACUUAGGUUGUAAGUGCUUUCAUAAUUAGCCUCAAAGUUAUUUCUGCCCCCUUGAUUAUUUUUAAAGUUGUAGGGCCUUUGUGGUUGAUAAAUAGCCCCAACCUAUCAACUUCCAUAGGUAUACAUGCAAUUAGAAGUAACAUGCAUGGUAGAGUUGGAUAUGCCACAUUGCUUUAGACAUAGAAGAGACUUGAGAAUGUAAAGGAUUGGCAAUAGACAUCUUGAGAAAGUUAAGUUGAAAGUAGAUGUCUUCCAAUUGAGAAUUAGGAAUGGAAGCUUGACACACAUGGUGAACACCUCUCGCAUUAUCCCUUGAGCUAUAUUGUUGAUUGUUAUUUGCUAAUUUCUCUAAAGCCCAAGCAUCAUUCGGUGGAAGGUCAAGCAAAGAGCCAUUUGUAGCAGCAUCUAUGGUCUCCCUAUCAUGUAUUUGAAGGCCUACAUGGAAGUAAUCAACUAGAAAUUCGUUGCCCACAUUGAGAUAUGGACACCUAGCAAGAAACUCUAAGAAUCUCAUCCAAUAUUCAUAAAGACACUCUUGAGGCAUUUGUUGAAUUCCCAUGAUUUCGUUCCUUAAUUGCAAAUACUUGGUUGCUGGAAAAUACUUCUCAAAGAAACAAUUUCUCAUUUCAGGCCAAGAGUUGAUGGUUCUAGUUGCAAGAGUAUUGAACCAUGUAAUAGCCUUGUCUUCAAAUGUGAAUAAAAUUUUUAGCAUAAGAUUCUCCAAGUUUGCUGUAGGUGGCUUCAUUGUUGAGCAAACCCUCUCAAGAAUUUGGAGAUGCCUACCUGCAAGACCAUGGAAUUUAGGUAAGGCAUUAAUCAAUGAAGGUUUAAUCUCAUAUUCAUUUUGCUCUUGCAAAUUUAAAUAUGAGCCACUAGCUCUAAGUGCCACCAUUUCUCUAAAGCUUUUCCUAACAAGUAUAUCAUGGUUAUUAGCAUGCAAGUGUUCAGCCAUACUAUCUACACUCACAAAAUUAUCAACAAUGGUGUUUGAAAUUGAAGAAGAUGCUAAGAACUCAAGAUAUUGGCCUCUAAAUUGAAUAUAUUCUCUAAGUCCUUUACAGGUUCUAAAAGACAUAUACAGCUUAAAACACCAUAGAAAUGAUACUGGAAGAAAGAAAAAUCAAAUAAACAAAAUUAAGCAUAAUCUGAAAAAAACGACAGAAAGCAAACACACUGGAGCAAUAUUUUUGUGGAAUUUUUUCAAAAUUGAAAAUGAAAAUUGAAGAAGAUGCUAAGAACUCAAGAUAUUGGCCUCUAAAUUGAAUAUAUUCUCUAAGUCCUUUACAGGUUCUAAAAGACAUAUACAGCUUAAAACACCAUAGAAAUGAUACUGGAAGAAAGAAAAAUCAAAUAAACAAAAUUAAGCAUAAUCUGAAAAAAACGACAGAAAGCAAACACACUGGAGCAAUAUUUUUGUGGAAUUUUUUCAAAAUUGAAAAUGAAAAAAUUAGAAAAACAUCAAAAUUGAAAAAAUGAAGCUAAGAUACUGAAAUUAACACAAGAUUUUUUUUUUUAAAACUUUACAAGUAGGGAAUAAGAUAUGUUCAUCCAAAUUCGGCCCUGUCUUCUUAGAGGACUUUUGUGUGCUUUUUGGAUGCACAACUCUCUAGUCCAAACUUAGAUUGCUCUAAAUUUUUUUUAUCUAAAAUCACUAACACAGUGAAGGUUAUACAAGUCAACUUUUAGGAAAAAAAUUUUCGAGUCAAUCCUUCCCAAUAUUGUUUCAAAUUUAGGUUUGUAGCACUGGAAAUUUUAAUGAAUCCUGUUUCACUAAUACAAAUAUUCAACCAAUUUAAUGGCUGAAUUAGCAAAUGUGUUCACAAGCAAAGUUAAUCCUAAGAUACUCAGGAACAUAAUGAAUGAAGAAUAAGCUCAAAACAAUGAGUAUAGUGAAAAUUAUACCUAUUCAAAAUUCAUGCACAAAUUCUGGUAGGAUGAUUUCCAUAGCUUGCAAGCAAUUGAGCUCUACUUGGCAUAUUUGUAACCCACAUCCAGAAUUAAUGUUGUAAUGAAAAAAAAUCUAGUAGCAACUUGACCAAAGAGAUGAUCAAAUGCUCAAUUAAAUGUUCUAGCCACUACCAACACUAAAUUGCAGAAUUAACAAAAAUGCAUAAAAUGGAAAUUGAAACAAAAAUCAAUAUGGCUAAUUGCUCCCUGAUAACGGUGCCAAUUGAUGUAACCUUAAUCACUUAAGGCCAUUAAAUAAAACUAGAAUGUAAUCAUGAGCAUUCUAGGUCAUCUCCCUAGAGAGCAAUGUACACAAAUUCUUAGUUCAAAUGCCAACAAAUUAAAAGAAUAUGAGAGUGAUUAAUUUAAUGAAAAAAGUCUAACUGAUAUGGAUCUAACUCAUCUAACUCACAUGAACAAACUCUAAAACAUCAAGUCAAUCUAUGAAUUCCAAAACUGAACACAACAUUACAAUCUCAAUUCAACAUCCAUAAUCUCAAUUAAACAUGAAUUAGAAUCAUAAAAAUCCCUAACCUAAAUAGAUUACAGAUUUUGAAAUUCUCAAGAAAUAAUAAGAAACUAUGAAAUUGAGAAAGCAAAUGAAGAACACAAAUCUGAAAAACUCAAAAUGCUAAGUCAUCUUUCUUGGAGCUCAAUGUUGUUCAACUACUCGUGCUCCUCUCCUUCACUUGGAUGAGAUUUUGAGCUUGAGAAGCCUCUAUGAAUGUAUGAAUGAUGAAGAAAUAUGAAUUUGGAAGUGGCUUAAAUGCUGGACGAAAAAAUGUGCUGAAGGAAGAAGAAGAGAUAGACGAAAUUGGAAUGGGGAUAUGAUGAAGAUCUGGAAAAAUUGAAGCUAAGUAAGAGGAAGAAAUCUGGAAAAUCUGGAAUGGAAGAAGAUGUGUUGCUGGGAAGAUGAGAGAAUCUGGAAACAAAUAUGGCUGAAGAGUGAGAGAGGAAUUUGAAAUUAUGAGCUCAAAAGAAAUAGAAAUUUAGUAUGUGGAAAUUAUGAGAGUGGGUGAUAAAACCAAAGUUAGAGGGUGAUAAAAUCAAAGCUCCAGAUCUGAAAUUGGCUAAUUAUCCAGCUGGAAAAUGAAUAAUUGUGAGCAAAACAAUUCUAGAAAAAUGAAGAAUAACAGGCGCCUAAUGUAGCUCAUAAUGGAGCGUGGGAAAAUGUGAUUGAAGUGUAGAAAAUGUGACUCUCUUUGACUUGUCUUCAGCUGCCACAUAAGCAUCUGUAUAUUCAUGAGUCACGCGCAAGAUGCUUCUCCUUUGCCUUAUGAUAAUGCCAUCGAAUGCUCUCUAUACUCCCCAUAUUUUUAUUUAAUUAAUUAAUUUAUGAAAAUCCAUGCCAAUUCGGCUUCUUUCAUUCUUCAUUUGUGACGCCACCUCAUCCCUUCUUCUCUUGCUCUUGACUUCUUUCAAAAAUGUUGACUUGCUUGUUGAUUUCAAAUUUGCCCUUACAAAAAAUUUAAAAAUAAAAGACACAAGACUAAAUAAAUCCUAGAAAGAGAGUUAACAAGGAAGAAAAGACAAUUAAAGCCCAAGAUCUCAAUUAAAGGUUUGAAAGUAUCAAAACAAUCAUCAAAUAGUCACAUUAGGGUUCAUAUAAUCAAUAUGGAAAAGGCAACACAAAACUAAAAAUAAAACCCUAAUAUGCAUAAUUUGAUGUAAAAAACUAAGUGUUUUAGUAUGUAAAGCAUGUCAUAUAUCAAUAUCGGACAACGAAAUGGUGUACGUUGGUAGUUGGACUUCCAAAGCUACCAUGACCACUUGUGUUAUCAUGACUGUGUUGUGUGCCGUGGAGUACAAUGCUUGUGCCAUGCUGGACAAGUCAGAACCUUGUAGAAAAUUGUUGUUUUGCCUAGUUCUAAUUUAUUAUUCCUAAUUUGGUCGUUUUGCCUCUUGAUUACAUUUAACUUUGAUUUUAAACUUAUGUUGAGCUCAACUAAUGCUUCGAGAUGUGUUUUGGAAUCCCAAUUCUUUAAAAAAUGAUUUCUAUAUUUGAUCAAUCACAUAUUUUACAUACUAAAAAAUUUGUUUUUUUGACAUUAAAUUGUGCAUAUUAGGGUUUUAUUUUUGGUUUUAAGUUGUCUUUUCUAUAGUGAUCAUGUAAACUCUAAUGUUGCUAUUUAAUGAUUGUUCUGACACUUCUAAACUCUAAUUAAAUAUCUUGGGCAUUAAUUCCCUUUUCUCCCUUUUUAAUUCUCUUUUUAGGAUUUUUUAGUCUUGUGUCUUUUAUUUUUAAAUUUUGUGAGGGAAAAUUUAGAAUCAACAAGCAAAGACUAAGUCAACAUUUUUGGAAGAAAUCAAGAGCAAGGGAGAUGAGGUGAUGGCGCCAUUUUCAGAUUUAAUUGAGGAAGAAAUAAUUAAAUAAAUAGACAGGGAGCAUGGGAAGCAUUGGAUUACAUCAUCAUCAAGUGAAGAAUGAGCGUUUUGUGCGUGACAUUGAAGCUGAAUUGAGGAAGCUUGGGUGGCAUCUGAUUAGAAGCUGAGUGAGUCAAAUUUCUCAUACCUUAAUCACAUGUUCCAUGCUCCCAUUUCCAACUCAUUUCAGACACAUUUUUAAUUCAAUUUCCAGCAAAUUAAUUUCAUUUUCCAGCUAGAAAUUCAAGCCAUUUAGAUCUGGAUUUUGCAUUGUUAUUAUCACCAUCCAUUUUGGUUUUAUCACCUUCACAUUUUUCAGACCUAUAGAAGCCUUUUAUUUUCAUUUCAGCUUCAUUAGUCAUCUCUCCAGAUUUUCUCUCUUCAUUCCCUCUCAAAAUUCGUCCAUCUUCAUCCCUCAUUUUUCCAGAUUUCAUUUUCUCAUCUCUUAGCUUCAUCUUGUCCGGAUCUGCCUUCUUCCAUUCUCCUCCAGAUCACGCCACUUCAUCUUCUUCUUCCAUCCAGAUUUGCGUCCAGAUCAUCUCUAGCCUCAAGUCCAGAAUUUCGUCCAUUAUUCUCCAUGGUCCAGAUUCAGAGUUCUUUAUCCAGCUACAUUCUCUUCUUCUACAUUCCAUUUUCAUCCAGAUUAUUUCUUCUUUUAGCUCCAGAAUUUCGUCCAACAGCACAGCCUCAUUUCCAGCUUCAUUUCUUCAUCAUCCAUGGAAGCCUCUCAAGCUCAAGAUCUCAUCCAAGUGAAGUAGAGAACCAUGAAUGGCUGAACAACAUUGAGCUCCAAUGAAGAUGACUUAGCAUUUUGAGUUUUUCAUAUUUGUAUUCCUCAUUUUUUUUCCUUAAUUUCAUGAUUUCUUCUUGUUUCUUGUGGAUUUCUAAAUUUGUAAUCUGAUUAAUUGUGGAUUUUGAUUCCAAAUUCAUGUUUAGUUGAGAUUAUGGGUGUUGAAUUUAAGUUUGAUAAUGUGUUUCAGCACUGGAAUUCAUGCACUCAUUUGAGUGUUCUUAA